UCCGAUUGGGCAAAUUGGCAAAAGGAUGUCUGUAUGAUAGGAAUUUAAACUACAAAGCUGAGCAUCACAAACACCAACAACUCCAAAUUUCUAAUUCGGAACAAUCACAGGAACGAGACCUUCUGUCUGAAGCGGCAAUCGCAGAAUACGAGCAGAUCAAAAAUUGGAUACGUCACAACGAAGACGAAUGGGAAAGCGUUAAGGAGAAGUGGUCUGCUACAAGUGCUCAUCGGCUCCAGGAAAAUCUAUUUUGGCCAUACUGGAAGACGAUUCAUUAGACGGAGAUACAUGCGACUGGCUUACUGCGAGUUUGUUGGCUUAUUUGCUACCAUGCCCAAUGUUGACCACUCGAGAGCGUAAAAA